UUUUUUUGUAUUUUUUUUUUUUUUUUUUUUUUUUUUUUUUUUUUUGC
rnacentral:ribozyme from 1 species